rnacentral:tRNA from 1 species
CCGUCGAUAGCUCAGUUGGUAGAGCUGUGGACUGUAGAUCCAUAGGUCGCUGGUUUGAAUCCGGCUCGACGGA